CUUUGAGAAAGAGAAAUUAAACAGAAACUAAAGGUUAGAAGCCAUGCACCUGCAUACAUUGCUGUUCUUGACUGUGGACUAUUCAAUGAAUUCUUCUCACCGCUCAUUAUGUUCCCCAUCUCUAGAGCUUCUUGGAGAGAACAUUUCCUCUGACUACUUCACAACGUAAUCCCAAAGGAUGGCUGCGCUUCCCAGGGAAGAGAAAUUCCCAGAUGCGACUAGAACAGAGAAAGCUAAACAAGGCGUUGUGGGUCCAGAGUCUCAGCAGUGCUUGUCAGAACUUCAGAGUGUGCAGACAGAUUCAAACUGCCCAUACCCUUUGGGCUUUGGGGAUGACCAAACAUCUUUGAGUCUUCCACAGCCAAGAGAGGCCGUCUGAGCAUCUAACAGCACAAAAUCAGCCGUAACAUUGGGUUACUCAGCCAUGGCCUCUUUUAGUGGAGAGCAGAAUAUCGAGGGAUUGCCUGGGGAUUUUUCUCAGCAAUAACAUAAAAACCCCCAAACCCCAACCUCCAAUGUUAUUGAGAAACCACAACUGUAAAAGUAGUUUGGGUAACACUUAAAUUUGUGUUCCCGACUUUCACUGUCAGCCUUGCGCUGUAGCAGCCUAGCAUUCUGUAGCGAAGAGCACAGACAUGCAAUCAAAAGCUGUACAGAGCCAAAUUAUUCCACUUUAUCCGUACCUUUUAAAAGGCUCAGCCUGAAUUCUUCAACAAAUCAGACACUUGUUCUCAUUCUAUGCACCAACCUAAACAAAUCUGUGAGGAUUUCAUGCUUUUUCUACUUUUUUUUUUUCUAUCUAUAUGUUUAUGUCAAGUUUAUCACAGUAGUUUCUAAGCAUCUAUGCUUAAUUUUGUAACCAGCACUAUAGGAUGAUCAACAACACAUUCUCUUAAUUUUAGAUCUGAUUAUCCAGCACCCAUCAUUUUCUCCUGAAGUGUUAUCCACAAAGAAAUUUAAAAGUAGGAAUUAAUAUGGUCUCAAAUUAAUUUCCCUAACCAACCAGAUGGCCUAAUUAUUGGCACCAAAAGAGCCAAGAUGGAAGAGUCCUUGUACCAAAUUCAAAAGCCUAUGGCAUAUAGCAUCCCUUAUUUAUUUUUUAAGUCUUAGUGGAACUCCGAGCAUUAAAAAAACAUGUGGAGAAAGUUCUUUUUAAAUCACAAUACUAUUUCUGCUCUCUUCCAAAAUGCAAUGUAUUAAAUAAAAAAAUAAUUUUCAAAAUCAGCUGGUUUAUAUGAAGCGAAUACAAUAGAACCAACCUACAGAUUUUUUCCAAUGCAAGUUUUAAGUGGACAAUUAAUGAAAAAAGGUAAUGUAAAUACCACUCCAGUGCCCCUUUCCAUCUGUGACUCACACUUUUAUGCAGAUGCUUAUGAACUUCACAUCUCGACAUCCUGUAAAGCCUGCAGGUAUUCUUCCUAUUCUAUAGAUCUGAAGAGUCAAAUUAUGGUUUUCUCAAACCCCCCAUCCCCCCUCCCCUUUUUUUUUUUUUUGUUGGUUGGCCUUUUUUGGUAAAAUUAAAUAAGACUUUAAAUAAGAAAGGUUUGAUGUUUAUGUAAGUAAUGAGGAUUUUUGACAUUUUUUAUAGCCUUCCAGCCCUCUGCAGUCCAGCCAAACCAUAACAAAAUCUUCCAGUUAACACCAACACAGAUGCACCAUCUUUCAUGAGUAGCACUGUAAAACUACAAAUUAAGUAGAAGUACAAAAUUAAAAACAUCAGUUAAACAUAUUACCUGCAACUUUAUGUUUUUCAUCUAAUGGCUUUGAAAUCACCAAUAUUUGUUUUAAUCUCUGAUUUUCCAGCAGGUUAAAGCACAGCAAUACAAAAGGAUUCCAGCUAAUUUUACUCAGUUAUAAUAGCACUGUCUUAAUUUAAGUGAAAAGACUUCUCCCGGCUGGGGUAAGGUAGCCUUCUCUACCUUUUCUUCUUGCUUCUUAAUCGUUUUGCUCUUCCUGACUCUGACCAGAUCCUACCAAGAGUAAGCAGGAAUGGUGGCCUGCUGCUCAAUGGCUGGUGUAAUGUAACUGCUCUGAUGCAGUUUUCGCUUCUCAGUGCAAAGCAAAACCACUUUCUCAGUUUCUGCAUCCUUGACUUCUGGAUAAUAUACCUCAGCAUGCUGGGAGGUUUGAUUAACAUGUAAAGCCUUGAGACUCUUUACCAAAGGCAGCAGUGCAGAGUAGUGUUUUCCAAAUUGCAUUGCAGGUGAAAGCUCAUAAGAUUUGCUAUAAAGCUACCUGAUCAUCAAAAGCAACAGCUCCCAUUGGCUUUAGUGGAUUUAGCUGUAGCCCUGAAUGAGCACAAUCUCAUUUAUUUAACAUCCUUUGUUCAUGGCACCGUUGUUUUUCUCUCUGGCUAGUGAUUUUCUCUGCUGCUUCUUUUCUGAUACGUUCCAUAGCAGGAACAUUUUCACAGAGAUAAAAGUUGUUAUCUUGCCAAAUUGAAACAUUCAAAGGAAGUAAUCAUUUAUGACCAUAACCCGUGAGCAAACAUUUCAUGAUUCCUAGGUCAUCUGCAUUUGGGUUAACCUCGAAAAGCUCAGCUAAACUUUCUUGUGCUUAUAAAGUUGCACAGAAUUUUCAUGUUAGGACACAGUACCAUACUUUUCACUUCGUGGUUUGUCUUAUUCAGAAACAGAGGAUAUUGCUUAGAUCUUGCAAAGUUCAUCUGAGUGUUUCAAGGAUCUAUACAGUUAUAUUCAACAGAGUUAAACAUUUCCCCUCAAAUAUCCCCAAGGGGAGUGGGCUAAAAGCAUCACCGAUACUCAGAAGCUUCCUGUCUCUCAGUACCAACAUGGCUUUACUCAGAUUUACUAUUGACUCAACUACUGUGGGAGAAGACAGUAGCAUGGUCUGGAAACCACCUGAACUACUGGGUUCAAAGCAUAGAGACCAGCAGUGUAAAUCCCAGAUGGAGGCCAGUGACUGGUGGUAUGCCCCAGGUCGUGAUACUGAGGCCAAAUUAACAUCUCCACUAGUGAUGUGGACAACAGGACAGCAUGUACCCUCAGCAAAUUUGCAGAAACAUGACUUGGAGGAGCGAUUGAUACAGUGGAGGAUUGAGGUGUCAUUCAGAGAGACCUGAACAGGCUGAAGAAAUGAGUAGACAGGAAUGUAACCAAGUUCAAAGGGAAAUGCAAAGCCCUGCACCUGGGAAGGAAUAACCCCAUGCAGCAGUACAGGCUGGAGGCUAACUGUCCUGAAAGCAGCUUUGCAGAAAAAGACCUGGAGGUCCUGGUGGUCAGAAAGCUGACCGCAGGCCAGUGAUACAUACUUGUGGCAAAGAAGGUCGAAACCAUCUUUGGCUGCAUUAGGAAAAGCAUUGCAAGCAGUCAAGGGAGGUGAUCCUUCCCCUCUACUCUGCCUUGGUGAGACACAUCUGGAGUGCUGUGCUCAGUUCUGGGCUCCCCAGGGUGAGACAGGUGCACAGAUGUGCUGCAGUGAGCUUAGCAAAAGGCCAUGAAGGUGAAAGGAUGAGAACAUCUGACUUGAGGGGUGGUUGACAUUUCUGGGCACAUAGAGAAAUAAAAGACAUUCUAUUCAAACAAUACUUCUUUACCGAGAGGGUGGUUGAACAAUGGCAAUUACCCACAGAGCCUGUGGGUUUUCCAUCCUUGAGGAUGUUCAAAACCCAACCAGAUGCAGUCCUGUGCAAUCUGCUCUAGCUGGGCUUGCUUGAGCAGGAGGUUAGACUAGAAGGUUUCCAGAGAUCCCUGCCCUGUUUUGGUUUUCAUCACAUGAUAUUAAUAAACACAGUAACUCCUUUUGCUGGAACAAAUGUCUUUAAUUAAAAAGCCUGAGAUCAAAACUACCUAUAUUUUAAUCUCUAAAUCACGCUUUUCUUUGCAAAAUAGAAGAAACUGAGGGUUAGAAGGUCUUUACAGUGAAGUAUACAUGCAUCCACAUAAACAUGAGAGUUCUUGCUACUAAAUUUGCUGUGAUGUGCCACUGCAUGGUUAAAGGCAGAAUAAAUUUACUAUCUCUCAACACUAAAGAACGAAGAGAAAAAUCCCAAACAAUAAAAAAGCCAAAAAUGUUUUCCUCUCCCUUCUCUUUCUGUUCUUCUCCUGUGAAAAUAUUAAUCCAUACAAUCAUUUUGUGUUCAGAAUUCCAUCUCCCUUUCUCUCCUCUAAUCCUUUAUCUGUUUUCUUUCCUGAAAAAUCUUCAUUAGGACCUACCUAGGCUGACUGGUGAGAAGCUAAUCAGGAAACUUUAUCUGUGAGCUCUGGCAUUCACUUUAGUUAAUUGAAAUCUUUCAGGUCUAACAAAUCCACUUUUAUAUCUCAAACUAGCUAGGAGAAAGCCAUAAAAGCAUCUUUGCACAAUAAGAAGAGCUAAACGUUAAGUCUGACAGGAUUUGAAAUGAAUUAAAAAAAAAAAAAAAAAAGCUGGAAAGAAGUUUAAAGUAGCCUCCAAGUAUCAGUGUGUCAUAUUACUUAGUGUGACAUGAGUACUUAGUUAUACUUCGUAUGAAUACGUGGCCCUGGAGAGAUGGGAGCACUCAUUUAUUAUACUGGGGAGCUGUAGCUAAACCUCACGCUUUCCACGGCAAUAGACAGCCUUUCACUACAGUAAUAUUCUUCUGUCACGAAGUAGGCAGCUUUCUACUUUAUUGCAAGAUUCACUGGAUUUGCAGUAAUUUCUCUCUUUGAACAUCUAAGUACUAAUUUACAAAGGCUCUCUCAGAACAUCAUCCUUGGCACAUCAUCUUUUUAGCAGAACAACUUCUAAGAAUUGGCUGCUCUGGUCUAUCUCUAGUUGGAGCACUGGAAGUUGAGGAUAUCCACAGUAAUAAGAGGUAGAAAAUUGCCAUGUUAAAAUUCAAACUGAUGCCUACUUACUUCAGAUUCCUGCCUGAGCAAAUGCUUCUGUGGAUGAGACUGGAAUCUUUGCUCAAAUAAAAGUAAUUUUUGAAAGGUUAAUGUUUUAAAGGUUCAGGCUGAAACAAUAGCUGGUCAACCAAGAAACUAUAACAAUCCCUUCUCAUUUGAAUGUCUUUUUUUGGGUUAAGAUUUGGCAUGCAGUAGGCAAUGUUUGCCACUUUGAAGUAACUCGGAGCUCAGGUACUCGCCAGUCUUACCAGACCAUGCUUCCCUCCCUCCCCUCCAACAGAGCAGCUCUUCAGGUGUUUUACCUGUUCUUCUAGGCGCUAUUCCACUGGGACAAGGGAAGGAAAAGGAGUUGCCUCUUUGCUAGAAGAGCUCAGCCAGUGUAGUUGGGCUCUUCUGCUCAGGCACCUUUCUGCCAAACUAAUGACACUGAACUUCACAUUGGUCAAGUGGACAGGAGUAGGAUAUAACAACAGGUUUACUGUGGGUAACUAAAUACAGACAAGUGAGAUUUACCCUGUUCUUAUCUAUGGCAACCAGCAGUAUUCACAAAUUUUUUUCCCACUAAGUAGUCUUACUGUACAUAAUCUGGUACUUAGACUUCUGUACACAAGACCUUUUAAACUGGUGACUGUCUUCUAAUCACUUUGUUACCAACUAUUAACAUUCCGAGUGCCACAAUAUCUCAAAGUUUCUUUCCUAGGGUUCCUAUGAUUGUAUGUCUUAUGUUUCUUUUUAAUUUAGAAAUUUAAUUGCAGAGAAAAGUUAAAAAAAUUAGCUUUAAAAAUCUCAAAGGAAAAUUAUGAAACUGCGUCACAAGGGGCUUCCUUUAAAAUCAGCAUUUUUAAGCAAGUCUCAGCAUUUUGAAUGUCUGGUUUCAACAAUAUUGCUUAGCUGUACAGCAUAAGAAAAUUGAGUUUCUCUAGAACCAGCUCGAUAGUUCAUGUUUCAACACACAUUUUAAUUAUUAACUAACACGGUUUGGGAACAUAGGUCACUUAAGUUUCUAAUUUUAUUUUUUGUAAAAAAAUAACAUAUUCAAGGUUCUGAUAUGCCUACUAUAAAAAUUAAGGCUUAGCCCUAUGAAGUAGUUAGUUCAUCAGAUUUUUUGGCGGAAGCAGCAGAAACCUGUUUCUCUCCUCGUGUUACUGUUGAACUUAUAUACCCGCUCAUGUAAGAAUGCAAGAAUCUCUUCUCAUCCACACCUUCAGCUCAGAGCCUAUGAAGAAAGAAGACAUCCUUAGGCUUGGCUGUGGUGGGUGAAGUCAGAGCCAAGCAGGGCUGGUGCAGCCCACGCUGAGGGGUGCACAGAGCUACCAGCGCUUCCCUGGAGCGCCUGGCUCCUCUCGGCGCUGCUUGUCAUGCUGGUGUCAGAGCCCUGUAGCGCUGGCAUCGGCGAUGGAGAUUCAAAAGGCAAAAGGGGGAGAAGGGAAGAAGAGAUCCUCUAUUUAUUCUUCCAUUAAUUUGAAAGAUAUACUCAUUUUGCCAAUUCUACAUUAUAAACAAAACUAAAUGCACUUCCCACUGAACUCUGGAGAGCUGUAAACUACUAAUAUUUCAAACCUACAACUCACAGUGCAGUGAGCGCAGUGGAAAAAAUAUAUCUGAUGAAACAAGUUUUAGAAAAGUCAAAUAUCAUUGUUUCCAUGUAGAGAAAGAAAAGCACCAGCAGAAAUAAAGGAGCUUGCCCCUGCAAUAGUUAUGGGCCAAGAGCUGAGGUAUGUCUUCUUGUAGUCUAACUUUAUACAUAUAUUGCAAGAGCUUGGGGCACUGUCAGGCUUCUCAGGGCAGGACAUUAAUCUCUCUGCCUUAAAGCUGUACAUCAGCAGUAUCAAGUUUCCUUUGCACCCUAGUGUGCUCUUGGGGAAAGACACGCAGGUUGUUAAAAACUGAGGUCAGAAUAACGUGAUGUUUAAAUGUUGGGGGGAAAAGGCAUCUCACACUACAGCUUUUCUGGAGGCAUUAUUAUCCUCCAUUUCUUAGUAAGACUUUAUUCUUGUUUCACGCGAUUAACAUUUUCAAACUGCCACAGCAAGCUUCAAUAAAUGUAGCACCAGUAACCAGCAAACCAGCCUCCAAUUUAAGCUUAUUUAUUUCCCAGAGUAAUAUCUCCUACUACAGGACCUAGUGCAGAGCAAUAGCAAUUUCUAUUCAUAAUAAAUGUUUCUGUAAACUAAUGUCUAUAUGUGGGGAUGUUUUGGUGCCUGUCUCCCCUUGCCUCUGUUCUUCCCUUUCUUAUCUUUAGCUCAGAGUAUCUGUAGACCAUACCAUAGCUUUUAAGAAAAUAUCAAAACAGGGUAUGUUAAAAUUGGUGGUAGAAAUGUAUGUGUGGAGGGAGAAAACCAUCUACAGUAAGCUGAUUUAAGCAAUCCUUUUGUAAAAAAUCAUUUUUUCAUUCUACUCCAACUCCAGCCCUAUAUCUUGGACAGAUUUUUUUUCUCAACAGAUAGUAGUAAACAAAAAAUACAAAGAUUUUUUUUUAAAGCAAAAUUUUACACAGCAAGCUCACUAAGUGGAAAAAACGUACUUGUAACUUACACUCAAGUAGCAUCAAGUGGCCUUUUAAUACACAUUUGAUUAAGCGUAUUGCUUUUUUUUUUUAAGAAAGAAUAACUGUUCCACCACACAUGUAUGCAAUUCGAAAGCUAAUGUACAUAUAUUGAUGGGAAAACCUUGGAUGACUACAUGCCACAGCAACUCUUAUUUGUAAUAAUGCUACUACGGGCUUUUUCCUCUUAGACAACUGGUUGAAGCAGGUGGCUACCAGCACACUUACAAAGAUUAUCAAAAUUAUGGACUUCUUCCAUAGUGAAAAACUGAGUGACAGCCUUCUGACACCACUAAUGGCAUUUGAGUUCACUUCCUCCAGUCUUUAUAGAUGCAGAACACAACCAGCUUGCUGAAUGAGAGGGUUUGGUUUCUGAACCUCUUCAGCACUGUCUAAGACAAAAAGUUGCCAAAAGCUUGAAACUUAAAAAAGCAACAAACAAACCAAAACCAGAACAAAACCCCUUGUGAUAUUGUGUGUGUCUCUCUUCUUUGGAAAGAGAAGUGUAAUAUGAGCUGGAGAAAAGCAAGAGUUCACACCGUUACUAGCACUAUGUUGAUCAGAUUCUAAUUAAAUUUUCUGUAGAACUGCAUACCUAAAAAUAAAAAAAAGCCAAUGCAAAUUAAA